GGACUACUAGGGUAUCUAAUCCUGUUUGCUCCCCACACUUUCGCACCUCAGCGUCAGUAUCGAGCCAGUGAGCCGCCUUCGCCACUGGUGUUCCUCCGAAUAUCUACGAAUUUCACCUCUACACUCGGAAUUCCACUCACCUCUCUCGAACUCUAGACCGAUAGUUUUGGAGGCCGUUCCGGGGUUGAGCCCCGGGAUUUCACCCCCAACUUUCCGAUCCGCCUACGUGCGCUUUACGCCCAGUAAUUCCGAACAACGCUAACCCCCUCCGUAUUACCGCGGCUGCUGGCACGGAGUUAGCCGGGGUUUCUUUACCUGCUACCGUCAUUAUCUUCACAGGCGAAAGAGCUUUACGACCCUAAGGCCUUCAUCACUCACGCGGCAUGGCUGGAUCAGGGUU
rnacentral:misc_RNA from 1 species